AUGAACGCUGGCUACAGGCUUAACACAUGCAAGUCGAGGGGAAACGACGGGGAAGCUUGCUUCCCCGGGCGUCGACCGGCGCACGGGUGAGUAACGCGUAUCCAACCUGCCUCUGACUGAGGGAUAACCCGUCGAAAGUCGGCCUAAUACCUCAUGGUAUCGUCUGCGGGCAUCCAACGACGAUUAAAGAUUUCAUCGGUCAGGGAUGGGGAUGCGUCUGAUUAGCUUGUUGGCGGGGUAACGGCCCACCAAGGCUACGAUCAGUAGGGGUUCUGAGGGGAAGGUCCCCCACAUUGGAACUGAGACACGGUCCAAACUCCUACGGGAGGCAGCAGUGAGGAAUAUUGGUCAAUGGGCGAGAGCCUGAACCAGCCAAGUAGCGUGCAGGAAGACGGCCCUAUGGGUUGUAAACUGCUUUUAUGCGGGGAUAAAGUGAGGGACGUGUCCCUCAUUGCAGGUACCGCAUGAAUAAGGACCGGCUAAUUCCGUGCCAGCAGCCGCGGUAAUACGGAAGGUCCUGGCGUUAUCCGGAUUUAUUGGGUUUAAAGGGAGCGUAGGCCGUGGAUUAAGCGUGUUGUGAAAUGCAGGUGCUCAACGUCUGCACUGCAGCGCGAACUGGUCCACUUGAGUGUGCGCAACGCAGGCGGAAUUCGUCGUGUAGCGGUGAAAUGCUUAGAUAUGACGAAGAACUCCGAUUGCGAAGGCAGCUUGCGGGAGCACAACUGACGCUGAAGCUCGAAAGUGCGGGUAUCGAACAGG
rnacentral:rRNA from 1 species